AUUGAACGCUGGCGGAAUGCUUUACACAUGCAAGUCGAACGGCAGCACGGGGGCAACCCUGGUGGCGAGUGGCGAACGGGUGAGUAAUACAUCGGAACGUGCCCAUGUCGUGGGGGAUAACGUAGCGAAAGCUACGCUAAUACCGCAUACGAUCUACGGAUGAAAGCGGGGGAUCGCAAGACCUCGCACGAUUGGAGCGGCCGAUGGCAGAUUAGGUAGUUGGUGGGGUAAAGGCUCACCAAGCCUGCGAUCUGUAGCUGGUCUGAGAGGACGACCAGCCACACUGGGACGGAGACACGGCCCAGACUCCUACGGGAGGCAGCAGUGGGGAAUUUUGGACAAUGGGCGCAAGCCUGAUCCAGCCAUUCCGCGUGCAGGAUGAAGGCCCUCGGGUUGUAAACUGCUUUUGUACGGAACGAAACGGCCUUUUCUAAUACAAGAGGCUAAUGACGGUACCGUAAGAAUAAGCACCGGCUAACUACGUGCCAGCCGCCGCGGUAACAC
rnacentral:rRNA from 1 species